rnacentral:rRNA from 1 species
UACGUAGGGUGCAAGCGUUGUCCGGAAUUAUUGGGCGGAAAGAGCUCGUAGGCGGUUUGUCGCGUCUGCCGUGAAAGUCCGGGGCUCAACUCCGGAUCUGCGGUGGGUACGGGCAGACUAGAGUGAUGUAGGGGAGACUGGAAUUCCUGGUGUAGCGGUGAAAUGCGCAGAUAUCAGGAGGAACACCGAUGGCGAAGGCAGGUCUCUGGGCUGACACUGACGCUCAUGCACGAAAGCGUGGGGAGCAAACAGG